GGCGCGCCGUUGGUGUCAUGCGGAAGAUGGCGGCGUCCAGGGGUGGCUGAGGCUUCUGGGGGAGGCGGUGACAGGUUUCCGUACAGCCCGAGCGUGCGGCUUGGGGAUCCCUUCACUCUGUGUUUCCUGCUCUCAGGUUUCGCGCCGGUCGUCCUUCCAGGCGCGAUGUGGAGGAGCUGCCUCCGGCUGUGGGACGAGGGGCGCCGCCUCCUGAACCGGCCCCGGGGUGGCCUCAUCGCCUCCGUGGGGCCGGGGCCAAACCCCCGCUUGCAAGCCCGGGCAUACGCCCCCCUGACAGAAAGGAAGAGGUUUUAUCAGAAUGUCAGCAUCACACAGGGAGAAGGUGGCUUUGAGAUAAACUUGGACCACAGAAAGCUGAAAACUCCCCAAGCCAAGCUCUUUACUGUUCCCAGCGAGGCCCUGGCCAUCGCAGUGGCCACUGAAUGGGACUCCCAACAGGACACCAUCAAGUUCUACACUAUGCACCUGACCACACUGUGCAACACGUCUUUAGACAACCCAACCCAGCGAAACAAGGACCAGCUGAUCCGAGCAGCUGUGAAGUUUCUGGACACCGACACCAUCUGCUACAGGGUGGAAGAGCCAGAGACAUUAGUGGAACUUCAAAAGAACGAGUGGGACCCAGUCAUAGAAUGGGCCGAGAAGAGAUACGGCGUGGAGAUUGGCUCCUCCACCAGCAUAAUGGGGCCCAGCAUCCCAGCCAGGACUCAGGAGGUGCUCAUCAGCCACCUGGCGUCUUACAACAUGUGGGCCCUACAAGGGAUUGAGUUUGUAGUGACCCAGCUCAAGUCCAUGGUGCUGACCUUGGGCCUGAUUGACCUGCGCCUGACCGUGGAGCAGGCUGUGUUGCUGUCACGCCUGGAGGAGGAGUACCAGAUCCAGAAGUGGGGCAACAUUGAGUGGGCCCACGACUAUGAGCUGCAGGAGCUGCGGGCACGCACGGCUGCUGGCGCCCUCUUCGUCCACCUCUGCUCCGAGAGCACCACAGUCAAGCACAAGCUCCUGCGGGAGUGAGGCCCGGGCGGCACGCACCACACAGCCGGCAGGACAGAGGCUGCACAGCCACACGACUCCCUGGCUCGUCCCCAACUUGGCAUCGCCCUGAGAUGCCCCCAAGACAGUGCAGCUGUCUAGAGUCAGCCUGAGUCCAGCCCUGCGGGCCAGCUGUCCCGGUUUCAACAAAGUCCAACAGCUUCCCUCCCAGAGCACGUUCUGAUACCUGCUGCCUGUGGCCCGAGCCUCACCCUGGGGACACCACGUCAUCAACAGACAACUCUGCAUGUGAUCCUCAGCCUUCAGCCUGAAGGCUUUU